UGAGCCCCGCCUCGGCUGCAGGGAGCUCCUUGCUGUGAGCUGGGGAGGUACGGAAAUGCCCGAUCAGGGAGUUCACAUCUCGCCCAGCACAUCCAGCUCCCUGAUGUUGCCAACUCCUAAUGUUGCCUAAGGAACUUGUGCAGAAUGGAUUCCUUGUAUACCUGCAUUACUCUGCAAGGAUAUAGCCUAGCUGCAAUGUUUGGAGCCACAGUCCACCCGCCUGUGUAGCUGUUCACUGACACAAUUGCAGAGUAGGAAGAAAUCAUCAGUUUCUUGUGGAGAACAGGCUGUGUCCAGUAGAUUCUGCCUGUGAAGAAGGCAAGCAACAAAUCAUGGAGGAAGUUGCCAGACAAAGUGGGGGGUCCUCUCAAGUGAUCAGAGUCCCCCCUGCUGCAUCUGCAAAGAUAAUCUCCAUGCCCACCUCACAUGUCCGAUGUUGUCACACAGCCAAUAAAGCUCUCUGUGGCUCUGUGCUGCCAGGAUGUCCAUUAACACACCUUCCUGUUUGCACAUGGAACCCAGAUUCCAUUUGUAUGUCCUUGGUAUCCUCAGCAAAAAGGAGCUUUAUUCACUCGUCCCCAGAGGCUUCCAGUUUUAUAAGGGGGGCUCGUGUGCUGGCAAGGAGGAAAGCUGAUGGCUAUUACUACCUGGGCCACAUCGCACAAGAAGUGAAGGGCUCCAGGGAAUGUUUUUUAAUUGAAUUUGACAAAAGUUGCACACUGAAAGGCAAGGUGCAGCUUCGUAUGCAGGAAACACCUCUCUACGACAUUCUGCACUACAAAGAUGCCUCGCAGUGGUGCCUUGCUCCAGGAGACAGAGUCUUGGCCCCAUGGGAGGCUAACACUGAACGCUUUGGCCCAGGCACUGUGCUCAAGGUUAUGGAGAACAAGAAGACACCUUUAGCACACAAUAGAAAGGGAGUGCUUGUGAAUUUCUGGAAUGGGCAAACUAAGGAGGUAUCUUCUGACCAAGCUCUGUGGAUCCCUCUGCCCUUAAGUGAGCGCAUCAUCCUAGAACUGCAGAUGCCAUUGGCAGCCAGGCAGAUGGUGGUGGAGUCAAGCUUGGACUACCCAUACAUUGUAACACCAGGUUACAGAGCUUCAGGCCAUUACAGACGGGGCCACUCAGGGCUGGACUGCUGGCCUGGGGUGUUGUGUUCAUUUGAGCCAUGCACGAAGUGCAGCUGUAGGUGUACCUUAGUCCCCCACUGCUGCCUUGCAGCCUGCAAAAGCCCACAGCCUACGGAGCACAAAGUGCAGCAAGAAAAUUUCUUCAUCCCAGGAACAUCCUUGAAUAAAGAAGAGCUCGGCAAGAAAAUAGAAGAGCAACUGUCUGAAGUGAGGAUGUCCCCUUCAGGAAGUGUUUCCAGAGAGGAAGAGGAAAAUGAAGAGAAGAGUUUGAUGACAGAAAAUCUUUCAAAAGAUGCUCAGCCUUGUUUGGAAGAGGACAGUGAGGUUUUAGGCCCUAAGAAGAAUCCUCAGAGGGAGAUGGCUCAUGCUACAAUGGUUGAUACUGCUGUCAACACAGACAGCUGGUUGAUGGAGUCAAUCCACAAGGAAGAAGCAGGAAGCAGACAGCAGGAUGCUGGAACUGAGGCUCAUUUUAAACACAAACAUGGUCUUUUUGAGACCAGAGUGGCAGAUGCUCCAAUUCAGUCUUCCCAAAGGAGCACUUCUGUGGGAGCCAGUGCUUUGUGUCCUUUCCAGCGACAAAGCUUCUUUGACCAAGUGCAUCAGUCACUAAAGAAAGACAGCCUGGCCAUCGAAUCAGCCCUGCAUGUACUGAGACCACACAGUACCUCCAGUGCACAAGCUGGGAGAUUCACAAAUCUAAAUCUUCUAAAAGACAAAAGCAUUUCAAAAUCUGUGCGUAACAGUGCAUCUCAGGAGAGAUGGGAAGAGAUGGACCUCAACAAGGCCAAGAUUGAGCACAAAAGACACCAAGAGGAAGAGAGGCAGUUGAAGAGGCAGCAGCAGCAGGAGGCAGAUGCUGUCCAAUGUCAGCUGCGCAGGAACAACCAGAGGCAGCGAUUGUAUCAGAGAACACUGCAAGGGUUGGAGAAACAGCUGGAGCACCAAAACAGAGCUUUGCAGCACACGGCACUGCUGCAAGCUGCUCAAUCAGAGAGGAGCAAGAAGGAAUCCUUCUUGGCAGAGGAGGAGAACAGAAAGUUAAGUCAGAGGCUGCAGUUCCUACAUACACAGCGACUGCAGAGAGAGAAUCUUCUUGCAGAACUCAAUGAGCGCAGCUUUGAACAAGAAAAAGAAAGGCUGCAUUUUUUGAGGAACAGAAUGCAGUCACGGCAGACAAUGCUGACUCAAGACUUAGAGGAGCAGGACAGGCAACAAAAGCAUCACCAGGCUGCCAAAAGGAAAGUGUUCCAGAACAGAGAUCGCUUACAUGAGAAGAUGCUAAAAGAAGACCAGAGACACUGUGACCUCCAGCAAUACCUCAGAGAACAGAAUCUUUUGAUGUUCCGAGCAUCACUACUAGAAUAAGGAAACUGCAGAGUGGAACUGGACCAGGAGAGCACAUUUUUUAAAGGUCAAGGACAACAUUAAAUAAGAUCCAUAGGAAAGAAGUCCAUACAUAUGAUGAAGUUGGGUUACCUCCAGUAACUGCUGUAGGUCCAGAACUGCUGUAGGAGGCAGGGCAGGAAUCCAGUAAUGUGAGAUCUGCUCCCAAAAACCUGCACCCAGAGCCAAACUGGAUACAAAAUUGAAGUGCUGCAGCCUGACAUUGUGUCCACUUGGAAACACCUAACACACUCUGGAAUAUCACUUAGCCAAGAGCUACAGCUCACAGGCACCAGAGGUAACCCUGCACCAUGAGAGGGCAGCAGCCACGAGUGUCUACUCCAGGACAGAAGCUGCAGUUCUGAUAA